rnacentral:rRNA from 1 species
CCAGACUCCUACGGGAGGCAGCAGUGGGGAAUAUUGCACAAUGGGGGGAACCCUGAUGCAGCGACGCCGCGUGAAGGAAGAAGUAUCUCGGUAUGUAAACUUCUAUCAGCAGGGAAGAAAGAGGACGGUGCCUGACUAAGAAGCCCCGGCUAACUACGUGCCAGCAGCCGCGGUAAUACGUAGGAGGCGAGCGUUAUCCGGAAUGACUGGGCGUAAAGGGUGCGUAGGUGGUUUGGCAAGUUAGUAGCGUAACUCCAAGGCUCAACCUUGGAACUACUACUAAAACUGUUGGACUUGAGUGCAGGAGGGGCAACCGGAAUUCCUAGUGUAGCGGUGGAAUGCGUAGAUAUUAGGAGGAACACCAGUGGCGAAGGCGGGUUGCUAGACUGUAACUGACACUGAGGCACGAAAGCGUGGGGAGCAAACAGGAUUAGAUACCCUAGUAA